UUUUCUCUAUUUAAUUUAUCAUAUUUAAUUUUGAUGUUCAUUUAUUUACUUGUAAAUCAUGUUUAAACCACUGUGCUGUACCAACAAACAAUAAUAAUAGUAACAAUAUAGGCGGAAGCAAAACAGUACUAAAAGGUAUAGGCCUGACCCAAAAGUUAGGGUAUCAGCCGACAGCUCAUAUGCUGUUUGGGAGCUUUCGCAACUGCGAAGAAGUAUGAAAAAUACAAUGCAAGCAAAACUGUGGGCAGCUGCUGCGUGGCCGAACAGGCACCAACAUAUGUAUAACUCCACGACGAAGGCCUUCAUGAUGUUGUUGCUGUUGGUGAUGAUGAUGUUGAUGAUGAUGAUGAUUUUAAUGAUGAUGAUAAAAAUGAUUGUUUA